GAUGAACGCUGGCGGCGUGCCUAAUACAUGCAAGUCGAGCGAACAGACGAGGCUCUUGCUCCUCUGACGUUAGCGGCGGACGGGUGAGUCACACGUGUAUCCCCUCCCUAUCAUACUGGGAUCACUUCGAGAAACCGGCUCUAAUACCGUAUAAUCUCUUGCACCGCAUGGUUCAUUAGUGAAAUACGGUUUUUCUGUCACUUAUCGAUGGAUCCCGGCCGCAUUAGCUAGUUGGUAAGGUAACGGCUUACCAAGGCGACGAUGCGUAGCCGACCUGCGAGGGGGAUAGGCCACAAGGGAACUGGAACGGGGACAAGACGCCUGAGGGAGGGAGCAGAAGGGAAACGGACGCAAUGGGGGGAAGGCUGACGGAGCAAGGGCGCGUGAGGGAUGAAGGGCCUCGGAUCGGAAAACUCGGUUAUUAGGGAAGAACAAAUGUGGAAGUAACUAUGCACGUAGUGACGGUAACGAAUCAGAAAGCCACGGCUAACUACGUG
rnacentral:rRNA from 1 species